rnacentral:rRNA from 1 species
GCCUAACGAACAAUCAAGUCGGCCUAAAAGCAGCCAUCUUUUAAAUUGCGUCAAAGCUUAACUAUUCUCACGCCCAAUCACAAUAUUAUUAUCUUAAUCCUAAAUUAAUACUGAGUAAUUCUAUACCACUAUAGAAAAUUUUAUGUUAAAACUAGUAACAAGAAGAAGACCCUUCUCUUAAAUGUUAGUGUAAAUCAGAUAGGACYAGCCACUGAUAUUUAACACCUCUGAACCCAAAGUAGCAACCAACCAAGAAAACCCUACUUUAAUUAACGUUAACCUAACACAAGCACAUUUCAAGAAAGAUUAAAAAAAUAAGAAGGAACUCGGCAAAUAUUAACCCCGCCUGUUUACCAAAAACAUCGCCUCUUGAGCCUAAUAAGAGGUCCAGCCUGCCCAGUGACUCUGUUCAACGGCCGCGGUAUCCUAACCGUGCGAAGGUAGCGUAAUCACUUGUUCUUUAAAUAAGGACUAGUAUGAACGGCACCACGAAGGUUAUACUGUCUCCUUUUUUUGAUCAGUGAAACUAAUCUCCCCGUGAAGAAGCGGGGAUGAAAUUAUAAGACGAGAAGACCCUAUGGAGCUUUAAACAACAUAGCACUUACUACAUGACACAAUUAUUCCAGCACGUCAAACUUUGCUAGUAACAUGACUAUGAGUUUUCGGUUGGGGUGACCACGGAGCAUAAUACAACCUCCACGUUGAAGAGAUAGCAUCUUAAGCUAAGAAUUACCCAUCAAAGCAUCAACAUUUUGACAUUCAUGGACCCAAUAAUUUUGAACAACGAAACCAAGUUACCCUAGGGAUAACAGCGCAAUCCACUUUAAGAGCCCCUAUCGACAGGUGGGUUUACGACCUCGAUGUGGAUC